rnacentral:misc_RNA from 1 species
UAUAAACUUUUUAAAACUCAGAGCAUUAGCAAAAAUAUAGUGUGUGAAAAUUCUUUGGUAGGGCAUAAAGCAAUAUAUAUAAUUGCCUUAACAAUUAGUAGACUAGGUUUGAAAUAGCCUAACUCCCUACCAAAGCAACAGAUAAGUUCACAAAGGUUAUGAGUAAAAUACUCAGUAAUGAUCCCUCCGCUGGUUCACCAACGGAGA